rnacentral:rRNA from 1 species
CCCUUAGAUGUUCUGGGCCGCACGCGCGCUACACUGACUACUUCAACGAGUUGUUUCCUUGAUCGAAAGGUCUGGGUAAUCUUUGAAAGGUAGUCGUGAUGGGGAUAGAUCCUUGCAAUUUUUGAUCUUCAACGAGGAAUUCCUAGUAAACGCAAGUCAUCAGCUUGCAUUGAUUACGUCCCUGCCCUUUGUACACACCGCCCGUCGCACCUACCGAUUGAAUGGUCCGGUGAAUCUUUAGGACUGUGGCUGAGGCCUUGCCUUGUGCGGGUCUGGCCGUGGGAGUUUAGUUAAACCUUACCAUUUAGAGGAAGGUGAAGUCGUAACA